rnacentral:rRNA from 1 species
GACGUAGGGGCGAGCGUUGUCCGGAAUUACUGGGCGUAAAGAGCACGUAGGCGGGAACCUAAGUCAGGUGUGAAAGACCGUGGCUCAACCACGGGGUGGCAUUUGAAACUGGGUUUCUUGAGGGCAGGAGAGGAAAGCAGAAUUCCUGGUGUAGCGGUGAAAUGCGUAGAAAUCAGAAGGAAUACCAGUGGCGAAGGCGGCUUUCUGGACUGACCCUGACGCUGAGGUGCAAAAGCGUGGGUAGCAAACAGGAUUAGAUACCCUGGUAGUCCCUGAG